ACUCCUACGGGAGGCAGCAGUCGGGAAUAUUGGACAAUGGGCGAAAGCCUGAUCCAGCAAUGCCGCGUGUGUGAAGAAGGCCUGCGGGUUGUAAAGCACUUUCAGCAGGGAAGAUGGCGUCCGGCGUUAAUAGCGUCGGGGGUUGACGUUACCUGCAGAAGAAGCACCGGCUAACUCCGUGCCAGCAGCCGCGGUAAUACGGAGGGUGCAAGCGUUAAUCGGAAUUACUGGGCGUAAAGUGCGCGUAGGCGGUUGAGUGAGUCGGAUGUGAAAGCCCCGGGCUUAACCUGGGAACUGCAUUCGAUACUGCUUGACUUGAGUGCAGUAGAGGAGAGUGGAAUUUCCGGUGUAGCGGUGAAAUGCGUAGAUAUCGGAAGGAACACCAGUGGCGAAGGCGACUCUCUGGACUGACACUGACGCUGACAGCGCGAAAGCGUGGGGAGCAAACAGGAUUAGAAACCCCAGUAGUCC
rnacentral:rRNA from 1 species